GCAAUCUUGAUUCCAGCUUGUGCUUCUUCCAGCCCAGCAUUUCUCAUGUUUUCCGCAUAUAAGUUAAAUAAGCAGAGUGACAAAAUACAGCCUUGAUGUACUCCAAACUUUGGGAAAUAGUUAAUGAUUAUUAUUAUUUUAAGCCAUUAAUUUUGGGGGAAUUUGCUAUGCUGCAAUAGAUAAAUAAAACAGCCUCACUUCCAGGGUCUCCAGAAAAAAAAUUAAAGAACUUUGUAAUGGAAUUUGGACUAAUUCCUCUUAAGCUUAAAGAAUUGGGUCAUAUCUGUUUUCAUGGAACUUGUUAGAACCCAAGUACUAUUCUUUGAACUUUAAGAGUUCUGUAGCCUGAAAGACAAAGGCUACCAGUGCAAGGAAGGAUGAGAGGUGCUCUGGUCUGAAUGUUUGAGUGCCCACAAAAUCCAUAAGUUGAAAUCCUAGCUCUUCAAGAUGAUGAUAUUAGGAGCUGAGGCUUUGGGGAGGUGCUUAAGUCAUGAAGGUGCAGUCCUCCAGAAUGGAAUUCACAUCUUAUAAGCAAGGCUUCAGAGACCCCUGGCCCCUUCCACUGUCUGACAGUGACAAGUCUGCUUUCCAGAAGAGGGUCUUCACACAAUCAUGCUGGCAGCCUGCCCUCACAUUUCAGAACUGUGAGGGAUACAUUCCUGCUGUUUAUAAGUCCAUGGUAUUUUGUUAUCGCAGCCAGAGAAGAUCAAGACAGGGGAGGUGUUGCUUUAUAUUUUAGGCAUAAAAAGGUAAAUCUCAAGAAUAGCCAAGGAGAAGACAAGUGACUUCAUACACUAAGGAACUGAUUCCAUAUUAUUAAAUUCUGCACUCUUAUUUCCAGGGCUACAUCCCUCAAUUUCCAUAAGGAGAGGACAGAAAAUUCUAGAGUAUAUGGAAAUGUCAGCUUAUGAAUGUGACUAGUGAGUUUUAAAAUUGAACUCAUUCAAAAUGUCCUAACCUAUAGUGAUUUAUUAGCUACCAGGCUCGAAGGGCAUUAAUUCACCUCUGCCUGUGCUGGAGAAUGGCAAUCCUUACAGAUGUGAUCAUAUUCUCUGCCAACCUUGGAACAUAUUCAUAACUUGGAGAAUGUGUGUUUCAAAUGAGAUUCUCUUACAUUUUGCAUGAUUAAUUUCAUUUAUACUUAACUAUAUGAAACUUUUGACUCUUCUGUAAAAGAGAGCUGAAAAUAAAUUUUCUGGGCAUCUGAGAGUUCUUCUAAAUUAUCUCUAAAAAUAAUACUUUGAUGAGUAAAGCAGAGAAAACCCACAAAUUUCCUGUCAUAUACACAAUGAAUGGAAAAUUCAAGUACGUGGGUGUAGGAAAACAAAGGACCAUAUUUUUUUAAUAGAUACAUUUUUUCAGGCUUUGUAUGAACUUGUGUUAGAAAGGCCUAAUUAUUCUGCAAUAUUA
rnacentral:lncRNA from 1 species